rnacentral:tRNA from 1 species
GGCGAGGUAGCUCAAUUGGUAGAGCAGUAUAAAGAGUGUGAGUCAUGUUCGUGACUUCUACAGCAAUUCUUUCCAUUACAAGGUACUUGUCGGUGGUUCGAGUCCACCCCUUGCCA